GAUGAACGCUGGCGGCGUGCCUAAUACAUGCAAGUCGAGCGAACAGAUGAGGAGCUUGCUCCUCUGACGUUAGCGGCGGACGGGUGAGUAACACGUGGAUAACCUACCUAUAAGACUGGGAUAACUUCGGGAAACCGGAGCUAAUACCGGAUAAUAUAUUGAACCGCAUGGUUCAAUAGUGAAAGACGGUUUUGCUUUCACUUAUAGAUGAAUCCGCGCCGCAUUAGCUAGUUGGUAAGGUAACGGCUUACCAAGGCAACGAUGCGUAGCCGACCUGAGAGGGUGAUCGGCCACACUGGAACUGAGACACGGUCCAGACUCCUACGGGAGGCAGCAGUAGGGAAUCUUCCGCAAUGGGCGAAAGCCUGACGGAGCAACGCCGCGUGAGUGAUGAAGGUCUUCGGAUCGUAAAACUCUGUUAUUAGGGAAGAACAAAUGUGUAAGUAACUAUGCACGUCUUGACGGUACCUAAUCAGAAAGCCACGGCUAACUACGUG
rnacentral:rRNA from 1 species